AGGAGCAGAAGGGCAACUAACCCGAAUGGUCUAACUGUUUGGGAGGAAAAUCUUCCACCUUCAGCAAUGCAGCCAGAAAUGGCAGUCGCGAGAGCGGCUAUCGCAGUCACAGAAACGAACGCCCCUGGGUUAAUGCAAUGACGCCUACAGCAGAGGUCGCACAGGGAUACGGUGAAACGAGCUGCGGAUGCGCGGGUGCAAGCCAAAAGUAUUCCAUUGACAUGCUGAUGAGGAAUGCGGUUCGGCGCUCAGUAGAAUGUUGCCUGCUCCGUCAAAGGAGCCCGGUUGGCUAAUUACAAAUCAUCCGGAUAACAGAAGGAGAUUUACUCUCUGCACCU
rnacentral:RNase_P_RNA from 1 species